UACGGGGGGGGCAAGCGUUUGUUCGGAAUUACUGGGCGUAAAGGGCUCGUAGGCGGCCAACUAAGUCGGAUGUGAAAUCCCCAGGCUCAACCUGGGAACUGCAUCCGAUACUGGAUGGCUUGAAUCCGGGAGAGGGAUGCAGAAUUCCUGGUGUAGCGGUGAAAUGCGCAGAUAUCAGGAGGAACACCAAUGGCGAAGGCAGCACUCUGGGACGUGACUGACGCUGAUGCGCGAAAGCGUGGGGAUCAAACAGG
rnacentral:rRNA from 1 species